AUGGAGGUCCCGCCCCGGCUCUCGCAGGUGCCGCCGCCAUUGUUUCCCUCGCCUCCCUCCGCUCUGGCCCCCCGCAACCUCUCCCAUUGGCGGCCCCGGGCUCCCCGGCAGCUUGCCCCGCUGCUGCCGUCGCUGAGUUCCGGCUCCGCCCGGCAGGGGGCGCGCCGAGCGCCGCGCCACGUCACCGCCCCCCAGCCCUCCCGAUUGGCGGGCGGGGCGUCUAUAAAGGGAGGGCGCAGGCGGCGCCCGGAUCUCUUCCGCCGCCAUUUUAAAUCCGGCUCCAUACACCGCGCUGCCGCUGCGACUCCCUCUCCGCGCCACCUGCCCCCGGCCGACAGCCCCGCCGCUAUGGAGGACGUGAAUGAGUACAGCAAUAUGGAGGAGUUCGCCGAAGGAUCCAAAAUCAACGCCAGCAAGAAUCAGCAGGACGACGGUAAAAUGUUUAUUGGAGGGCUAAGCUGGGAUACGAGCAAGAAAGAUCUCACUGAAUACCUGUCUCGUUUUGGAGAGGUUGUAGACUGCACAAUUAAAACAGAUCCCGUCACGGGAAGAUCGAGGGGAUUCGGAUUUGUGCUUUUCAAAGAUGCUGCCAGUGUCGAUAAGGUUCUGGAACUUAAAGAACACAAGUUAGAUGGCAAGUUGAUAGACCCCAAAAGGGCUAAAGCUUUAAAGGGAAAGGAGCCCCCCAAAAAAGUAUUUGUCGGCGGACUGAGCCCAGAUACGUCCGAAGAACAAAUCAAGGAAUAUUUUGGAGCAUUUGGAGAGAUUGAGAAUAUUGAACUUCCUAUGGACACAAAAACAAAUGAAAGAAGAGGAUUCUGUUUUAUCACAUAUACAGAUGAAGAACCAGUAAAGAAAUUAUUAGAAAACAGAUAUCAUCAGAUUGGUUCUGGGAAGUGUGAAAUCAAAGUUGCCCAGCCCAAAGAGGUAUACAGGCAGCAACAACAACAACAGAAAGGAGGGAGGGGCGCUGCAGCUGGUGGACGAGGUGGGACUAGGGGUCGUGGCCGAGGUCAGGGCCAAAACUGGAACCAAGGAUUUAAUAACUAUUAUGAUCAAGGAUAUGGAAAUUACAAUAGUGCCUAUGGUGGUGAUCAAAACUAUAGUGGCUAUGGCGGAUAUGAUUAUACUGGGUAUAACUAUGGGAACUAUGGAUAUGGACAGGGAUAUGCAGACUACAGUGGUCAACAAAGCACAUAUGGCAAAGCAUCCAGAGGGGGUGGUAAUCACCAAAACAAUUACCAACCAUAUUAAAGGAGGACUUGGAGAAAACAGCGGGAACUUCAUUGCAGGCCGUGUGUCACCCUGACCACGUCUCUCUCUGGGGGUCGCACGUUGCGGGCAGAGCGCAAGGCACACACCAGAAAACGCUGUCCUGUGGUAUGGUCUCUUCCAACUUCAUGUACCAGCGUAAAGAUUAAAGUGGAAAACUUCAGACUUUGGCUUCUUUUUUUAAUCUUUUUGAAGAUUAAGUCUCUUAACUUAAAUGGUUUUUUACAGGAGUUAAAAUACAUAAAUGCCUUUUUACAGCUUAAUCAUUUUGGUCUUCUGUUUAGUGUUGUAUUUCAAUUGUGGAGCCUCAUUUUAAGUGUGUAUUUAAGAUUUAAUGCUUGCUUUUUCUUUUUAUAGCUAAUAGUGAAAUCUGCAAACCAAAACAACUUUUAAAUCUGGGGAGAAAAUUAAAGAUCAUAUGCACAAACAAAUUUUGAUAUUUUAUGAUAAGCCUACUGAAAAUCUGGAUGUUUGCCCAACAUUGAAAUUUUCACUUACUAGAGAUGCUUCCAAUAAAGCUUAUCUGGUUAACUGCUGCUUAUGAAUUUCAGGAGGUUGUCUUCCUGGGAUCAGAAGAGACUUAAAUGGCAUUAAACUUAAGAUCCCAGGUGCAGAUGCUACAGCAACCUUAUCUUGCAGGAUGAUGACAUUGAAUGGAGAGUGGUCUUCUAUUGAUCUGAGAUGACUAUUUUGUAAAAGACUUGUAGUGUACAUGACACAACUGUGUCCAAUUGUAUAUAGCGGCCGAUUUAGUUUUCUUGUUUUUACUUUGUCCUUUGCCAUCUGUGUUAUGACAAAUGUGGAUUUGUGUUUAUACAAAUUUUAUUUGUAUAAUUUCAUGUUAAAUGAUUCUCAACAAUAAAUUACUUGUGAUUGUUUUUCUGUGUCAGGUACUAAAUAGCUCUGUAAAAAAUGUAAUUUUAAAUAAGCAAUAAUUGAGGCACAGUUUAUUUUCUAGGGAGUCAUAAACAGUGGGGAGAAACAGUGGUCCUUUAUAAAUAGCGAGCAUCAAACUUUGCCUUAGUCUCCUAAUUCCCUCAACAAGGUCUAUGCUAAGGAUUCAUUUCCAUGUUUUAAAAUAACCAUAGAUCCUACCAUACAGUUGAACAGUGUUUGUCCCCAUGUGCAUUCUUGGGAUCUUUGUAAUGAGAAGUGUUAUUAAUUCAGCAUGUUGUGAAAUAGCUGAAGUUGUUUCUAUUGGGCCAUAGAUCCCUUGACUUUAUUUUCAAGAGGAGCACCUUUUUAUUAAAACACCGUUAAAUAAGGCAUAGUUUAACUUUUUUAUGAGUUAACAAGUUGUGCUUUGAGCCUGUUUAAAAAAAAACCACCCAUCUAUUAUGAUUAUUUGACACUUACAUUGAAUGUGAGUGUAAUUCAAAUUGCAUAUUUCUAUAUCCAUUGAAACUAGAUCAAAGAUUAAUAUGGGCAAGAUUUUCAUUAUAGAAUUGUAAGUAAAUUGUACUCUGAAAUAGUGCAUUAUGUCACUGCCACUGCCAAACCAUACAUAGCUAUUUCCUGUUGGAACUCAUACUUGGAAAGCUUUAGUAGAGUUGCGGCUUUUGUCGUGAAAGUUUUUAGGUAAAGUCAAUAGUAAAUCCCAUAAACUCAUGUAUUGUUUUGUAUUCUCAAUAAAGGUUAUUUUUCCAUUUUUUAAAUGAUAUUAAUAGUGCAUGUGCUCUGAGUAGUGAAGCAUUUCCAUAUUCAGCUAAGGGGGAGGGAUAUGUGGUAACUAGAAACUUUUAAAGCCUUAUUUAUAUGACACAUUUUCUGUAAUACAACAGGGCUUCCUAAUAGUAUACUGCAAUAGAAUUAGGCCUUCAUAGCUCUUGGAGCAGAAGACCCAAAUUUUAGUUUGAUGUUUAGUUGACAUGGGUCUGUAUUAAACAACUGGUUUAUAUUCCCACAGUUCCCCCUAUAGGUUAUGGUCUUCGCUAGACCUGAAAUAUCAAGUUUGUUCAUUGGACAUAUUUGAAGGGAAUAUAUCAUAUGAGGGCUAAUUUCUCUUGUACCUUCCUUGAAUUUUAUUGUAACUUCAUGCAAUCAAGUUGAACUUUAACGUGAGGCCUAUUGGUUCUGUCCACACUACCUUUUUUCCUUCUGUCCUCUGGAGCAAGUCUUCCUUCUCAUUCUCCUGGGGACUGUCAAGUUUACUUUGCAUUCUGGCUUUGUUUUGUCCCUAUGUUGCUGUUGCUAAAUUGGCCUUCCAUAUAAGCAAAGUGAUGGAAUUGGACUUCACCAGAAAUUGUUUCCGUUUGUUGACUUGGAACCAUAGGAAACCGAAGGGAGAUGAUUUGGAUUUGUGUUAUCAAAGGCAAAUAGGUGCAGUGUAUUUAGGAGAGUGAUUCCUGUAAGUAGUUCACAAUUUUAUUACUAGGUGACAAGUUGACAUUGAAAUUGUCCUUUCCCUAACUACAAAUAAAAGUUUUUUUAUCCUUA